GUGGGCAUCUUAUCGGACAGUGCUGGAUUUCUUGGCUUGACUCUAACACUGUCUGGUAACGAUGUUCAA
rnacentral:pre_miRNA from 1 species